rnacentral:rRNA from 1 species
AGAGUUUGAUCCUGGCUCAGGAUGAACGCUGGCGGCGUGCCUAACACAUGCAAGUCGAGCGGUAUACAUUGGAUUGAAACUUCGGUCGAAUGAAGAUGUAGAGAGCGGCGGACGGGUGAGUAACGCGUAGGCAACCUGCCCCAUACAGAGGGAUAGCCUCGGGAAACCGGGAUUAAAACCUCAUAACGCGGAAGAGUCACAUGGCUUUUCCGCCAAAGAUUUAUCGGUAUGGGAUGGGCCUGCGUCUGAUUAGCUAGUUGGUGGGGUAACGGCCUACCAAGGCAACGAUCAGUAGCCGACCUGAGAGGGUAAUCGGCCACAUUGGAACUGAGACACGGUCCAAACUCCUACGGGAGGCAGCAGUGGGGAAUAUUGCACAAUGGGCGAAAGCCUGAUGCAGCAACGCCGCGUGAGCGAUGAAGGCCUUUGGGUCGUAAAGCUCUGUCCUUGGGGAAGAAAAAAAUGACGGUACCCUUGGAGGAAGCCCCGGCUAACUACGUGCCAGCAGCCGCGGUAAUACGUAGGGGGCAAGCGUUAUCCGGAAUUAUUGGGCGUAAAGAGUGCGUAGGUGGUUUUGUAAGCGCGGGGUGAAAGGCAAUGGCUCAACCAUUGUAAGCCCUGCGAACUGUGAGACUUGAGUGCAGGAGAGGAAAGCGGAAUUCCUAGUGUAGCGGUGAAAUGCGUAGAU